rnacentral:misc_RNA from 1 species
UUUUGGCUACUCGCGGCUUGUCUUGCAUUUAAGCUUGGCUGGUGGUGAUCUUGCUGGGUGGUUUCGGGGAUGUCUACCGUAAAGGUGCAUGAGUGGUAUUUGGUUUGUUACGGGUGGUUGGCUCUUUGCUUGUGCAACAACUUCCACCUGGCAUUCCUCUUCAGUUUUGUGUUAAUGCUUGUAUCGCAUUGAACGCAUCGUGGGUUUCUUGUGUUGCAUUCCUAAAUGAUGGUAUCCUCUGAUGAACUGAAUUCUAUCUUCGUCUUGUGUUGCACACGCGAUGCGGGUUGAACCUAAAUGCAACCUUUUGUGAACCACUCCUUCGAUGCUUGCGCAUUGGUUUUGUGGCGCACUUAGUGUUGCUUGGUCUCAUCGAUAUGGAACCUUAUGUGGGCACGGGAUCUUUUACUAGCUCCUUGUUUGCUCUGGUUAAGCUUUUCAAAUACGAUUCCCUACCAUGCUUUAAUGCGGUAGGCUCUAUCGGAUAUGAAUG